AGAGUUUGAUCAUGGCUCAGGAUGAACGCUAGCGGCAGGCCUAAUACAUGCAAGUCGAACGGGAUAGGCUCCUCGGGGGCAUUGAGAGUGGCGCACGGGUGCGCAACGCGUAUGCAACCAACCCCCGACAGGCGGAUAGCCGGUGGAAACGCCGGAUAAUACGCCAUGGUUCCGGGAGAGGGCAUCCUCUCCUGGAUAAAGCCGAGAGGCGGUCGGGGACGGGCAUGCGUCCCAUUAGAUGGUAGGCGGGGUGACGGCCCACCUAGUCCACGAUGGUAGGGGAUCUGAGAGGACGGUCCCCCACACUGGUACUGAGACACGGACCAGACUCCUGCGGGAGGCAGCAGUAAGGGAUAUUGGUCAAUGGGCGGAAGCCUGAACCAGCCAAUGCCGCGUGAGGGAAUGAGGCCCUACGGGUCGUGAACCUCUUUUAUUCGGGGACAAGGACGCGGUCGGGAACCGUGUUUGAGGGUACCGAAGGAAUAAGCGUCGGCUAACUCCGUGCCAGCCGCUGC
rnacentral:rRNA from 1 species